AGUGAACGCUGGCGGUAGGCCUAACACAUGCAAGUCGAACGGCAGCACAGUAAGAGCUUGCUCUUACGGGUGGCGAGUGGCGGACGGGUGAGGAAUACAUCGGAAUCUACUUUUUCGUGGGGGAUAACGUAGGGAAACUUACGCUAAUACCGCAUACGACCUACGGGUGAAAGCAGGGGAUCUUCGGACCUUGCGCGAUUGAAUGAGCCGAUGUCGGAUUAGCUAGUUGGCGGGGUAAAGGCCCACCAAGGCGACGAUCCGUAGCUGGUCUGAGAGGAUGAUCAGCCACACGGGAACUGAGACACGGUCAAGACGCCUACGGGAGGCAGCAGUGGGGAAUAUUGGACAAUGGGCGCAAGCCUGAUCCAGCCAUACCGCGUGGGUGAAGAAGGCCUUCGGUUUGUAAAGCCCUUUUGUUGGGAAAGAAAAGCAGCAGGUUAAUACCCCGCUGUUCUGACGGUACCCAAAGAAUAAGCACCGGCUAACUUCGUG
rnacentral:rRNA from 1 species